GUGAUCUCCUGCUUUGAAUAAAAAAGACAAAAAAGGAAUCAUGACAGAAACACAGCCAGGAGGCCUAGCUAUGUGUGCAGAUAAGCUUUUAGAACAUAAAAUUUUCUAUCACAUUUAUCUGUUGCUUUUGGAAUUUUUACCAUUCUGCAGUGGAGAUUAUGACAGAAACACAUAACAGGAAAAGUGCUAAAAUCUCCUUAGCUGUAUCCAUGCAAGAUCCUGCACUGUACUGCCAAGGCUGUUGUUUCAACUAAUGCUGGUGGCAGGUCUGAGUUGAAGCACUGUGCAGCAGACAGCUGCACAUCACCUGUCCUCUUGCAAAGAAGAUGCAAGAAAUAUGGUAUGCACUGAGCAAAUAUGAGAAAAUUCACUAGGCCUCCCCUUCCAGAUGGACUGCUUUUCAAUAGCUGGUUAUCCAUGGGGUUAUUUUAACUUAAUUCAGGUGACUUUAAGAGCUAACGACAAAAACAAUCAUCAAGGAAACUAACUGGCUCAGACUCAUGGCACAGCAGGACAUCUUGUCAAGUACUGCAAAAAAGAAGUGAACUGAAAACAAAAUAGCACCAGUUCUUUCAACUUUAUUCUUACACAGGUGAUUGUGACUAUACAAAAAUCCUGCGGAAAUAAG